rnacentral:lncRNA from 1 species
UGUUUAGGACUUUAUGGACUUCUAGAAUUUAUUCGGAUUUUAUUGUUUAGAGAUUCUAUUUAUUCGCAUUAUUCGGAUUAAAUUAUUUUGGAGGAUUUAUAUCAUUCUAGAGCUUAUUAGAACUGUUUAUCAUCGUUUGGAAUAUAUAUUAGUGCUCUGUUUGCAGGUUUUGGAUUUGUAGGUAACCUCUCGUCUUAAUUUAAGAUGGGGGUGUUACAUA